AAUCCGUGUUGUGGAUACUUUCGCAAGAGAUCCUUGAAUCGUUCCCAUGUCUCAAACAAGGAUUCAAGCUUUAUCAGAACAAACGAUGAUAUUUCAUUAUGAAGCUU